CCUACGGGAGGCAGCAGUGAGGAAUAUUGGUCAAUGGACGAGAGUCUGAACCAGCCAAGUAGCGUGAAGGAUGACUGCCCUAUGGGUUGUAAACUUCUUUUAUAUGGGAAUAAAAUGUUCCACGUGUGGGUUUUUGCAUGUACCAUAUGAAUACGGAUCGGCUAACUUCGUUCCAGCAGCCGCGGUAAUACGGAGGAUCCGAGCGUUGUCCGGAUUUAUUGGGUUUAAAGGGAGCGUAGGUGGAUUGUUAAGUCAGUUGUGAAAGUGUGCGGCUCAACCGUAAAAUUGCAGUUGAUACUGGCAGUCUUGAGUACAGUAGAGGUGGGCGGAAUUCGUGGUGUAGCGGUGAAAUGCUUAGAUAUCACGAAGAACUCCGAUUGCGAAGGCAGCUCACUGGACUGCAACUGACACUGAGGCUCGAAAGUGUGGGUAGCAAACAGGAUUAGAUACCCCUGUAGUC
rnacentral:rRNA from 1 species